UCCGCGAUAGCUCAGCGGUAGAGCAGCGCGCUGUUAACGCGUUGGUCGUAGGUUCGAUCCCUACUCGCGGAG
rnacentral:tRNA from 1 species